UUAACAGAGAGCUAUUAUUUAAGCAAAAGCGAUAUCUAUUUAUUAUAAAAACUAAAAAAAAAAUUCGGCAUAUUUCCUUUAUUCAGUUAACUUUGAAAACAUAUUUCUUUUGUUCGUGCACCUUUGCAUCUGGCAUUACUGUUCGUAUGAGCUUAAAUCACUAGUUUUGGUUUUAGAAGGUUAAUUCAAAGAUUGAAGAUCAAGACAAGUGGAGAAUGUCUUUCGUCAUGCCAUCAAAGUAUGGUGCUAACUUGCCACUGCCUAAAGAUUCAUGUGAGACAAUUAAAGAGGUACCUAGAAAAAUAGUUGUUGUAGUUGCCUUUUCAGGUGAGUGCUUGCCUUGGACAUAUUUCAGUAAUUUGAUUUCAUUUCCCCCUAUUGUCUGUUCUUUGGGUUUUUAAUUGCAGAAACCCAUUACUGUGUAAAUAUUUAACUACCGGACAAUGUACAUAUACAAUUGAAUCUCACGGUCUUGGAUUUGAUGUUGAUAUUUUUCAAAGUUGCUACCUUUGUUCUUUGUUGACAGCUUUUGUAAUGUGAUGCUUUCUUAUGGGAUGCCUUUACACAUUGUUGCAUUUUAUUUCAGAUCAAAAUCUCUGUGGAUGUGGUGACCGUAAUGCUGCCUCUACUUUGACAUCAUUGUGAACGGUUGUAAAUGAGUAAUAAGUGUAUAUUAUAAAUUGAACUUAAAGUUCUUAAAAGAAUAUUUACAAA